rnacentral:rRNA from 1 species
CCUACGGGAGGCAGCAGUGGGGAAUAUUGCACAAUGGGCGCAAGCCUGAUGCAGCCAUGCCGCGUGUGUGAAGAAGGCCUUCGGGUUGUAAAGCACUUUCAGUAAGGAGGAAAGGUUAAGUGUUAAUAGCACUUAGCUGUGACGUUACUUACAGAAGAAGCACCGGCUAACUCCGUGCCAGCAGCCGCGGUAAUACGGAGGGUGCGAGCGUUAAUCGGAAUUACUGGGCGUAAAGCGUACGCAGGCGGUUUGUUAAGCGAGAUGUGAAAGCCCCGGGCUCAACCUGGGAACUGCAUUUCGAACUGGCAAACUAGAGUGUGAUAGAGGGUGGUAGAAUUUCAGGUGUAGCGGUGAAAUGCGUAGAGAUCUGAAGGAAUACCGAUGGCGAAGGCAGCCACCUGGGUCAACACUGACGCUCAUGUACGAAAGCGUGGGGAGCAAACAGGAUUAGAUACCCUGGUAGUCCACGCCGUAAACGAUGUCUACUAGAAGCUAGAAUCUUCGGAGUUUUUUUCAAAGCUACACGCA